UUUGAAACGCGCAUACGGAUAAUUUGUUAAACGAUUUUUUAAUAUGUUUUCGUGGAAAAAACUGUCAGCUUAGUUUGCGGUAUAUCUUUUAGCUUGCUUUUUUAGUUUGAAGUUUCUACGCAUACAGAAGAAUUCUUAAAGUAUUUGAGGUUUGUUUUGAAACCUACUUGUUUUUCAUUUUUUUUAUCAAAAAUUUAUAUUGAAUUAUACCUUAUAUGCUAAAAAAUGCAAAAAAAUAUUAGGGACUAGUAUUUUUCCGUUUCAUUUGAUCGAAAGUAUGCUUUUUCUUCAUUUUAAAACAUUUUGGAUUAAACAAGCGAACCAGUGUGUAUUUUCAAUCAGUCUAACUCGAACAUUGUUUUAGUCGCACAUUAUAUGCGUUAAGUCCAACGCUAAAGUAGAAUCAACGCUGAGAUUGUUAAAAUAGACUUUUGUUUUGGUUAAAAAUUGUUUUGAUUGUGAUGAAAUUUUUUUACAUUAACAAAAGUUCCUAAAUUAUUCAGCCCGAAACUAAAGUUUAUUUUAACCUUUGAUCAGACUUUGCAACGUUUUGGGGGUUUCAGCAACUGCCUGCUUGGGAUUAAGAAUGCGCUCUAUUUGACAAUUUUUAUUUAAUGCUUAAGCGAAAGUGGUUAAAUUAUCUGUCUCAUUAAAUUUGAAAAGAGCCAAUUUGGUCUUUUCAAGGAGUUACUUGACGCUAAUGAAAUGCUCUUAUUUUUGAACUUGUUCUUCGACGUUUUUUGAAGUCAAAGGUUUCGUCUUUGAGCUUUUUUGGCUUCUUUUUAUUUGAGCUGUAGUUAGCAUAAAUUUGGUGUCGUGUGUUUUUUUUUCAAUUCCUCAAUGGCAAUCGUUUUGAUAGGUGACUUGUAAACGCGCAUAUGGAUAACUUUUUAAAAAGGAUUUUUUGAUAUAUUUUUGUAGUAUUGGGGAAUAUCGUUUUUUGAAGCUGUUUAAUAAAACAAAUUCUGUCAGCUGAGUUUGUGGUUGACCAUUUGAUUUGCUCAUUCAGUUUUUCCAACUGCGUUCUGUAUUUUUUAUGCUUAAAAUUGAAUGUAUGAAGCAUUGAGUUAUGUUUGAAAACUAUUCGGUUUUCAGUUUUUUUUAAAUUCAUGUUGAGUUCGGUUUUAUAUGCCAAAAAGUCUGAUAGAACUGGUGGAAUAGUAGUAUUAUAUUUUUGAGUAUUAUAUUUUGUGGCUACUCCUAGUUAUCUAUGAUUUGCUUCCUCCGUAUUCAUGCUGGCUUUAAUGGUUGUUGGUGAUUGACUGUAGCUCAAAAAGUCAGCUCAAAAAGAUAAUGUUGAGUUUUAAGACGUUUUUCCGCGGUUUUAAAUUUGGAAAUCAAGUGAUUUGUCUGGUGAAUCAUUUUUUUGUGGGAAUCCUGAAAUUCAGACGUGAAGAAACGAACAAUCUGACAUUGAGAAAGUGUACAAUGAAGUUGCUGCUUCGUCUCAGUUUUCUGCUAUGUACAGCUAAUGCAUUGAAACGAUCGUCGGAGAGAAGCAAGCUCUGGGGGAAAAGCGUAGGGAGACGUAGUGCAUGUGCGAGCCCAAAAUCUGAUCCCAGUGGCUAUUGCAACAAUUGUGACAAAGUGGAUAACACCGGCUGUUGUAACGAGUGGUUUGUUCCUGCCUGCAAGGCGGAUUGCUGCAAUGAUGGUGGAGGAAUGAGCUCAGACCUGGGACCUGACUGUCAAAAAUUUGUAGAUGGGCAUGAAUCGUGUCUCUCGGGGGGUGGGGCUGCUGGAGCACAGGGUGGCGAAGGCGAUCCGGGAAACUACUCAGAUAGACUAUCAGUGCAAAAAGCACUUUCAAUUUUUUCAUUAACCGUAUAUGCAGUAAAACGCUACCAAUGAUACAUUAAAGAGAAAUGGAUUAGUUGAAAAUAUCAAAAUGAAGCCAAAAUCUGAAACGAAAACAUGAAUAAAGAAUGCAGUUGAAAGCGAUAUGAAAAUUUUUCAUUUAGAGAAUUAUGAUAAGCAAAAUAGAUUUGUUAUCAUUCAGUUGAAAAGUGUUUAGAGCGCUGUAAGAUAAAUGAUGGAUUUAUAAAGGAUACACAGAAACGAACCUCUCGUUUUUCAUGGAAGAAGAUAAUUAUCUUCGUUCAGAAUAAAUAGAUAUGAA